rnacentral:rRNA from 1 species
UGGGGAAUAUUGGACAAUGGGGGCAACCCUGAUCCAGCGAUGCCGCGUGUGUGAAGAAGGCCUGCGGGUUGUAAAGCACUUUCAGUUGGGAAGAGAAUCUAUUAGUGAAUACCUAAUAGAGGAGACGUUACUAACAAAAGAAGCACCGGCUAACUCUGUGCCAGCAGCCGCGGUAAUACAGAGGGUGCGAGCGUUGCUCGGAAUCACUGGGCGUAAAGGGUGCGUAGGCGGCUUCUUAAGUCUGGUGUGAAAGCCCAGGGCUCAGCUCUGGAAGUGCACUAGAUACUGGGAAGCUUGAGUAUCGGAGGGGAGAGUGGAAUUCCUGGUGUAGCGGUGAAAUGCGUAGAUAUCAGGAGGAAUACCGGUGGCGAAAGCGACUCUCUGGACGAUUACUGACGCUGAGGCACGAAAGCGUGGGGAGCAAACAGGAUUAGAUACCCCCGUAGUCCCUGAGCGGGCUGGCAAGGCGCAU